GUGUUGUCUUUGAGAGAUCUAAGGUACAACUGACCUGGGGUAAGUGACUGGUCCCUUUGGGACAGGGAGUUACCUGAAUAUUAUUGUGAUUUUUGGUAUAAGGGACCAUCUGUCACAAAGCCAAGCUUGCCUAGGUGACAAGAUAGAUUGGAGUA